rnacentral:rRNA from 1 species
AUUGAACGCUGGCGGCAUGCUUUACACAUGCAAGUCGAACGGUAACAGGUUAAGCUGACGAGUGGCGAACGGGUGAGUAAUGCAUCGGAACGUGCCCGAUCGUGGGGGAUAACGCAGCGAAAGCUGCGCUAAUACCGCAUACGAUCUGAGGAUGAAAGCGGGGGACCGUAAGGCCUCGCGCGAUCGGAGCGGCCGAUGCCAGAUUAGGUAGUUGGUGGGGUAAAGGCUCACCAAGCCAACGAUCUGUAGCUGGUCUGAGAGGACGACCAGCCACACUGGGACUGAGACACGGCCCAGACUCCUACGGGAGGCAGCAGUGGGGAAUUUUGGACAAUGGGCGAAAGCCUGAUCCAGCAAUGCCGCGUGCAGGAAGAAGGCCUUCGGGUUGUAAACUGCUUUUGUACGGAGCGAAAAGGUUCUCUCUAAUACAGAGGGCUCAUGACGGUACCGUAAGAAUAAGCACCGGCUAACUACGUGCCAGCCGCCGCAGUAAAAC